rnacentral:rRNA from 1 species
UCAGGGAAUUGUAAUUUAAGAUGUUUGGUCAAGGUAGCAGAGGUUAAGUCCAUGGAACGUGGCGCCACGAGGGUGACAGCCCCGUGAACCUCCUAAAGCCCCUUACCCCAAACCUCAGAGUAGUUGUUUGGGAAUGCAGCUYUAAGUGGGUGGUAAAUUCCAUSUAAAGYUAAAUACCGGCGAGAGACCGAUAGCGAACAAGUACGUGAUGGAAAGAUGAAAAGCACUUGAAAAGAGAGUGAAAAAGUACGUGAAAUUGUUGAAAGGGAAGGGCUUGCAAGCAACAUUAAUUGGGCCAGCAUCGGGGCGGCAGGGAGAAAACCUCCCGGGAAAUGUACCUCUCGAGUGUUAUAGUCCCGGGCAUCAUCUCCCAUUCUGCCCCGAGGCCUGCGUAUCUAGGAUGCUGGCGUAAUGGUU